rnacentral:rRNA from 1 species
CAGUAGCCGCGGGAAUACGAAGGGUGCAAGCGUUAAUCGGAAUUACUGGGCGUAAAGCGUGCGUAGGCGGUUUGUUAAGUCUGUUGUGAAAUCCCCGGGCUCAACCUGGGACCUGCAUUUGUGACUGUAUAGCUAGAGUACGGUAGAGGGGGAUGGAAUUCCGCGUGUAGCAGUGAAAUGCGUAGAUAUGCGGAGGAACACCGAUGGCGAAGGCAAUCCCCUGGACCUGUACUGACGCUCAUGCACGAAAGCGUGGGGAGCAAACAGGAUUAGAUACCCCUGUAGUCCCUGUCUCUUAUAA